UACGAAGGGGGCUAGCGUUGUUCGGAAUUACUGGGCGUAAAGCGCACGUAGGCGGAUACUUAAGUCAGGGGUGAAAUCCCGGGGCUCAACCCCGGAACUGCCUUUGAUACUGGGUAUCUCGAGUCCGGAAGAGGUGUGUGGAAUUCCGAGUGUAGAGGUGAAAUUCGUAGAUAUUCGGAGGAACACCAGUGGCGAAGGCGGCUCACUGGUCCGAUAUUGACGCUGAGGAGCGAAAGCGUGGGGAGCAAACAGG
rnacentral:rRNA from 1 species